rnacentral:rRNA from 1 species
UACGAAGGGGGCUAGCGUUGCUCGGAAUGACUGGGCGUAAAGGGCGCGUAGGCGGUUUGUACAGUCAGGUGUGAAAUUCCCGGGCUCAACCUGGGGGCUGCACUUGAUACGUAUGGACUGGAGUGGGGAAGAGGGUCGUGGAAUUCCCAGUGUAGAGGUGAAAUUCGUAGAUAUCUGGAGGAACACCGGUGGCGAAGGCGGCAUCCUGGACCGGUAUUGACGCUGAGGCGCGAAAGCCAGGGGAGCAAACGGG